rnacentral:pre_miRNA from 1 species
AGGAGCAACAGCCCCAGUGGCGGGGCCAGCUCUGGAAACCUGGAUUCAGCUCCGGCAGGAACUCCGGAGCUCUCCGUCUGCAGGGCCUGGAGGCUCCGGGGCGGG